GAGUAAAACUGCAAAGAUUGGUUGCUAAAUGUUGUAAAAUGAAGAAAAUAUCGCACUGUGAAGUUCGCAAAUUUUGUAUAUAUUUGUAUAACCACUUUCAGCUCAAAAAUGGUUAUUUUUACCGCGCGUAAUACAAAUAUAUACAAAAUUUGCGAACUUCACACGGCUAUAUUUUUUUCAUUUUACAACAAUUCGCAACCAAACUUUGCAAUUUUACUC